rnacentral:tRNA from 1 species
GGUAAAAUGGCUGAUAUAAGCAUUAGACUGUAAAUCUAAAGAUAGGGGUUUAAGUCCUCUUUUUACCA